rnacentral:rRNA from 1 species
CCUACGGGAGGCAGCAGUGGGGAAUCUUCCACAAUGGGCGAAAGCCUGAUGGAGCAACGCCGCGUGAGUGAAGAAGGUCUUCGGAUCGUAAAGCUCUGUUGUACGGGACGAAAACCGGGGAUGAGAAUAUUGUCUCCGGGUGACGGUACCGUACGAGGAAGCCACGGCUAACUACGUGCCAGCAGCCGCGGUAAUACGUAGGUGGCGAGCGUUGUCCGGAAUUAUUGGGCGUAAAGGGAGCGCAGGCGGGCAUAUAAGUCCAUCUUAAAAGUGCGGGGCUCAACCCCGUGAGGGGAUGGAAACUGUAUGUCUUGAGUGCAGGAGAGGAAAGCGGAAUUCCCAGUGUAGCGGUGAAAUGCGUAGAUAUUGGGAGGAACACCAGUGGCGAAGGCGGCUUUCUGGACUGUAACUGACGCUGAGGCUCGAAAGCCAGGGGAGCGAACGGGAUUAGAUACCCUAGUAGUC